CAGAAAGGGAUGUCACUUCUUCAGUCAUGAUGGAUGUAUAGAGAGGGCGCAAGGCGGUCUAGAUACUAAGAGCAGGCACAGGUGUCGUCCAGUGUGGAAUCUCUGGCGGAGGGAGCUACUGACUAAACCCACUGAGGUACAGUUCAACAUGCGCCUGGUAGAAGCCUUACCUUUGGUUCAGAUUCAGGAACUCUACAUGAACGCCUAUUCAGGCAUUUAUUUUAUGAUAAUUGAAUAAAUAUAUUGGUCUGGGAUUUUUUAAUAUUUUGAUAUGAAAAAUUAUGAUAAUGAUAAUAGUAAUAGAUAGAAAAGGAGUAUAAAGAUAUAAAUGUAAUAACCGUUUCAGCAGUUUCAAAUUCAAUCUACAUAAUUUAAUCUGUAAAUAUUGCCCUUGGUAUUGCUUUGACGAUUUGCUGUGGUACGUGAAAAUAUUUGAAAGUGAAAUGGUUUAAAAGCUUUGCACACGUACAUUGUAUUGAAAAACGAUAAUAUUUGAGUACUUAAAAAUCUUAAGUCUGCUGCAAGGCUGUAGGUGAACCAAAAGAUUUUCUAUAAACACACAUUUAUAAAGUGUAAUUACAAACCAGCUUUUUGAAGUUUAAUUUUGUUUCUAAAUUUUGUUCCAUGUCAUGAUAUUUUCAAUGUACUUUAAAAGAAAUUUAUUCACCCGCGGGAUUAUCAUUUCCUCACAUUUCAUAAUGUAAUUCAUAGCUUUUUAUAGGCCUUUUUUUUUGCUACCACCAAUUUGACUAUCUAAAUACUUGUAUAUAAAAUGCAAUUACA